CAAUAGCGUAUAUUAAAGCUGUUGCGGUUAAAAAGCUCGUAGUUGAAUUUUUGCUUGCCGCCGAUGUCGGAACUUCCGUACGUUCGGCGGCGUGCAUCCUUGGGUGGAACCUGUGUGGCAUUAGGUUGUCGUGCAGGGGAUGCUCAUCGUUUACUGUGAAAAAAUUAGAGUGUUCAAAGCAGGCUUAUGCCGUUGAAUAUAUUAGCAUGGAAUAAUGAGAUAGGACUUUUUUGCUAUUUUGUUGGUUUGCGCAAAGAGGUAAUGAUUAAUAGGGACAGUUGGGGGUAUUCGUAUUCCAUUGUCAGAGGUGAAAUUCUUGGAUUUUUGGAAGACGAACUACUGCGAAAGCAUUUACCAAGGAUGUUUUCAUUAA
rnacentral:rRNA from 1 species